rnacentral:rRNA from 1 species
GACGAACGCUGGCGGCGUGCUUAACACAUGCAAGUCGAACGGAAAGGCCCUGCUCUUGUGGGGUGCUCGAGUGGCGAACGCGUGAGUAACACGUGAGUAACCUGCCCUUGACAUUGGGAUAAAUUCAGGAAACUGGGGCUAAUACCGCAUAGGAGCUCCUGCUGCGUGGUGGGGGUUGGAGAGUUUGGGCGGUUGUGGCUGGACUCGCGGCUUAUCAGCUUGUUGGUGGGGUAGUGGUUUACCACGGCUUUGACGGGUAGCCCGCCUGAGAGGGUCACCGGCGCCCAAGGUACUGCGAUACGCAGCAGACUGGUACGGUCCGCAGUAGUGGGGAAUAUUGCGCAGCGGGGCGGAGCGUGAGGAAGCGGCGCCGCGUGCGUGAUGACGGCUUGUUGGUGGUAAACCGCUGUCGCCGUAAAUGUAGCGGGAGUGACGGUAACGGGUAAAGAAGCACCGGCUAACUACGUG